AUAUCAAUAAGCGGAGGAAAAGAAACUAACAAGGAUUCCCCUAGUAACUGCGAGUGAAGCGGGAAAAGCUCAAAUUUGAAAUCUGGCGGUUCUGCCGUCCGAGUUGUAUUCUGGAGAAGUGCCUUCCGUGCCGGACCGUGUACAAGUCCCUUGGAACAGGGCGUCAUAGAGGGUGAGAAUCCCGUCUUUGACACGGACUGCCGGUGCUCUGUGAUGCGCUCUCGAAGAGUCGAGUUGUUUGGGAAUGCAGCUCAAAACGGGUGGUAAAUUCCAUCUAAAGCUAAAUAUUGGCGAGAGACCGAUAGCGAACAAGUACCGUGAGGGAAAGAUGAAAAGCACUUUGGAAAGAGAGUAAAACAGUACGUGAAAUUGUUGAAAGGGAAACGCUUGAAGUCAGUCGCGUCUGCCGGAACUCAGCCUUGCUUCUGCUUGGUGCACUUUCCGGUUUGAUGGGCCAGCAUCGGUUUUGCGAGGCGGACACUGGCGGGUGGAAGGUGGCGGCUCCGGUCGCGUUAUAGCCUCCCGUCGCGAACGCCUUGUGGGACCGAGGAAUCCGGCGCAAGCCUGGGAUGCUGGCGUAAUGGCUUUAAACGA
rnacentral:rRNA from 1 species